rnacentral:rRNA from 1 species
UACGGGGGGAGCAAGCGUUGUUCGGAUUUACUGGGCGUAAAGGGCGCGUAGGCGGCCACUGCAAGUCGGUUGUGAAAUCUCCGGGCUUAACCCGGAAAGGUCAAUCGAUACUGCAGGGCUAGAGUGCAGAAGGGGCAACUGGAAUUCUCGGUGUAGCGGUGAAAUGCGUAGAUAUCGAGAGGAACACCUGCGGCGAAGGCGGGUUGCUGGGCUGACACUGACGCUGACAGCGCGAAAGCUAGGGGAGCGGACGGG